CAACGAGAGCAGGAGCUCCGGCUCAAGCUCGGGGUCUGCUGUGGAAGGCAAGAGGGCCAGCUGACGACUUCCUCACUGACGUUUUCUCUUCCAACCAGUAGAGCUGCAGGCAUUUGCCCAAAAGUCCGACUGCUCUUGGCUGGCGAGCAGCUCUAACACCAUGCACCUGUGUAAUGGAUAUAUGUGCAGCUGGACAUGUUUAGCACUGCUGAUCCCUCUGGAGCACAUGCCACACUGCCGGAUUUGCCCUGGGUGGACUGGGAACAAGAAUCCAUUAGGAAUAGUUCCUGACUGAAUUGGAAGCUUUUAAUCUCUUCUUGUCUGAAGAAGGUUCUAGAAUCAUCAUCUUGCUCCUGCUCUCCUUUUCCUUCUGUCAGCUCUGGCAAAAACUGAUAGCCAGGUGACUUGUCUGAAGAAAAUAAGUUUUUCACAUCCUGGGCUACUGUUUCGCUCCAACUUUACACUUAAGAAACAAGCUGAUGAAUUCGGGUGCUGCCCUUCGUGUCAUUCGCGGCGUCACGCCGACUCCUGAAGAGCAGCUCAGCAGAGAGAUCAAGUUUUGCUGCAUUUUCAUGAACUGAAUGAAAUGGUUACAGUGCUGAUCAGCUUGACCCCUACUCUUUAUUCAGUCAUCCUGGGUAUAAUAAAAUUAUUAGUUGUUGCAAAUUAA